CACACACACGCACUACUGCCUCCUCUGUCAUUGCAGAGGAGAAGUCUUUGUGGGAACCAAAAUCCUGGACUCCAUACUUUGGAUUAAAGGACUAAUUAUCAUAUGGAGUUCUACAGUGACCCACUAGAUGGCGACAAGAGUUUGACUAAAACGCAUGGAUAUGUUCGUCUCACCUGUGUAGUGCACACUGGCAUCCCAGCCCUCCUUCAACCACGCUGAGUUCCUGGUCUCCUCUCUGGACUGCAGAUGGUGAACCACAUACAGCUCUCCGAUCUGUGUGAAGAAUCCCCCUACAGCUUCGUUGUUAUUUUGGCGGUAUUUGAUUGCUCGAGCCCUAUGAGAUGGAAAAUAUUAUUAAUAAAAUAUAAUAAAAGACUUGUGGAAGAGACAAUAUAUGCAUAUCCUUCAUGCUUAUAAGUGUGUUAAAUUACAAUAUUCUGUGGACUUACCAGUGGUUUCCCCAUUCAAUCAUUGAUCCAGGCUUCAUUGUACAUGCACAAAGAAGGUUGUGAGGUUAAAUA